rnacentral:rRNA from 1 species
GACGAACGCUGGCGGCGUGCUUAACACAUGCAAGUCGAACGGAAAGGCCCUGCUUUUGUGGGGUGCUCGAGUGGCGAACGGGUGAGUAACACGUGAGUAACCUGCCCUUGACUUUGGGAUAACUUCAGGAAACUGGGGCUAAUACCGGAUAGGAGCUCCUGCUGCAUGGUGGGGGUUGGAAAGUUUCGGCGGUUGGGGAUGGACUGGCGGCUUAUCAGCUUGUUGGUGGGGUAGUGGCUUACCAAGGCUUUGACGGGUAGCCGGCCUGAGAGGGUGACCGGCCACAUUGGGACUGAGAGACGGACCAGACGCCUACGGGAGGCAGCAGUGGGGAAUAUUGCACAAUGGGCGGAAGCCUGAUGCAGCAACGCCGCGUGCGGGAUGACGGCCUUCGGGUUGUAAACCGCUUUCGCCUGUGACGAAGCGUGAGUGACGGUAAUGGGUAAAGAAGCACCGGCUAACUACGUG